GUUCCAAUUAUGCUAAGCGUAAAUUUGGGCAUUGUGCCAGGUUAAGUGUUGCUGCAAGAAUAACCAUGCCACUAAGCGUUGUGUUUAUUGUAACAAGUUCACAUGUGGCAAAUGCAGAAAGGAGAUGUUGUGGCAGUGCCAGGUGUGUUCAGACAAUCUGUAAGCAAUACAUUUCACCAAGAAUGCAAACAUAAACAGUGUCUACCUUUUACUAUUACUGUUCCAUAUCUUUACCCGUUUGUGCCCAGAUUGUUGCCAGUAGUCACACAGCUUGUCACUAGGUCAAAUGUCACCUAGUAAUGAUAGAAAUAAUAAUAAUAAUAUAGAAAUAACAA